rnacentral:tRNA from 1 species
GGCUUGGUAGCGAAGUGGUCAAACGCGGUCGACUCAAGAUUGACUCCCUCCGGGUUCGCAGGUUCGAUCCCUGCCCAAGCUU